GGGUCACUGGAUUGACAAUCCUUAAUCUUGAGUGGAGGGGAUGACUUAAAAAUCAUGCUCAUAUGGAUUACGCCUGAGGCCC
ensembl:snoRNA SNORD115 Small nucleolar RNA SNORD115